rnacentral:misc_RNA from 1 species
GUGAAUCAUCGAAUCUUUGAACGCAUAUUGCACCAUCUGGUAUUCCGGAGAGUAUGCCUAUUUGAUGGUCAUUUGAAAUAAUAUAAAUUGCGAGAUUUUCUUGAAAUCAAAAAUGGGUCGGUCCAUCUUUCGUGUGGUGGUCGCCUAAAAUGCAAGACAAACUCAUUUCUUGGGUUGCGUGAUACUUUCAGUUACCUCGUAACUUCACAAAAAAUAUUCGAGCGUGUUAAGAAUUGUGAAAGAACUAAAAUGAAGUUAUCUCUGUCUCAAUAUUAAAUUGAAUC